rnacentral:lncRNA from 1 species
UUCGAGACUGUUUUUCCUUCCCCUUCAGUGCCUUUUUCAGCAAUAUGAAGUUAAAACCAAGUACUCUAAUGACAUAAUACCUGGCAUAUAAGACUUUCCCAGGGAAUUUCUACUAGAAAUACUACAGAUUGAAAAGGAUCAAAGGAAGACAUCAAGUUCCACCCUGACCUUUCCAUUUUGAAAUAGUGAAAUUUCUGGAAUACAAGUGGAGCACAUUCCACCUGAACUAAGGUGAUGGCUUCUCACUAAAAAAUGAAGGCAGGAGACCUGACCAUUGUUUGGGUAUAAAGAAGGAAAAUAUACAAGUGUUCAUGUGAUGAGAGGUACUGAAUCACUGAAAAUAAACUGGCCUAGAAGCAAUACCAGGAUCGAGAGAGAUGGAGUCUUAUUCUGUCACCCAGGCUGGAGUGCAAUGGCAUGAUCUCGGCUCACUGCAACUUCCGCCUCCCAGGUUCAAGAGAUUCUCCUGCCUUAGCUUCCCAAGUAGCUGAGAUUACAGGCACCCACCACCAUGCCCAGCCAAUUUUUGUAUUUUUAGUAGAGAUGGGGUUUCACCAUGUUGUCCAGGCUGGUCUCGAAUUCCUGACCUUGUGAUCUGCCCACCUUUGCCUCCCAAAGUGCUGGGAUUAGAGGCGUGAGCCACCAUGCCCGGCCUAAAUGCUGUGUUUUUAAGUUUAUGCACAUGUGGUCACAUUUUAUGUGAGAAUAGUGGUUACUUGUAGGGUGUUAGGGGAAACAUGACCUGGGAGGAGUGCAUGGGAUUCAAAAGUAUAGUAAUGCCUGAUUUGUCAAGCUGAGUUUUUGAACAUGUGAAUAUUAUCACUUUUUAAACUAUACAAGUGGUUUAUACGCACAGUAUAAAAUACAAUUCUUUCAAAACAACAAAAAAAGUUCAACUUAAUAAAUUCCUUUACUCAUGACAUCUGAGAGUCCUGUUUGAGUGGUACUCUAGUAAAUUAACACCAUCAUUGGUUGUUUGAUAUGGCUCUUUGUGGCUUGAAACAAGCCCUCCAAAAUCAGAAUGCCAGAGCAUUAAUUUAAAAUGAAAAAUAUAAUUUUACUAGGAAUUAGGUUAUUUAGUUCACACAAUUUAUUCAUCUACUUCUUUAUUUAUUUAACAAAUGUUUGAAAAGUUCCAGUUCUGUAUCAGGCACUAGUCUGCUGCUAGGAAUGUGUCAGUGCUGCAUGAAAAAUAAAGUCUCUGAUUUUUGCUGUUUAUAUUCUUAUAGGGAGAGGAAAAUAGUACAAAAACUAAAUAUUAUAUAUGAAGUGGUGAUAAGAGAUAUGAAGAACACUAAAUCGAAGCAAGAACUCAGUUUUGAGAAGAGGUUGCUGUAUAGAUAGGGUAGACAGGAAAUGCUUCUUAGAGCAGUGAAUUGAAGAGAGAAAACUGAGUCACGUAAAUAUCUUGGGAAAGAUCACUUGUGAAGGACCCAAGUGAGAACCAUUUUUGACCAGCUCAAGAGACAGCAGGGAAAAAAAUGACAAAAUAAGACAGAUACUAAGUAGAAGAAGAUGAGAUCAGGAGUGGGUCGUGGGUCAGGAGAUGUGCAGAUCAUAUAACGUCUUGAAAAUUCUGAUAAGAAUGUUGGUCUUUACUCUGAGUGAGAAGAAAAUAUAUGGUUACUGCCAGUAGGUCAGUGUAUUUGAAGAGGAUGGUUGUGGGGCAGGGGGUGAAAUGAAGGGUGGUGAGAAGAGAUUAGAGAGAAAGACAGGACUCAGAUCCUCGUGUGUCUUUUUAGAGAAUGUGGAAUUUAUAUUGAUGAUCCAUUGGUGAACUACUGCAUGCCCCGUAACAUGCCAUGUGCCACAUAACAUUUCACGCAACAUCAGACCACAUAUACAGUGGUCCCAUAAGAUUAUAAUACUGUGUUCUUAAUGUACCUUUUGUAUGUUCAGAUAUGUUUAGAUACACAAAUACUUAUUAUUGUGUUACAAUUGCCUACAGUAUUCAGUACAUUAAUAUGCUGAACAGGUUUGUAGCCUGGGAACCAUUGAUUAUACCAUGUGGCCUAGAUGUGUUGUAGGCUGUGCCAUUGAGAUUUGUGUUAGUGCACUCCAUCAUUUUCACACAAUGACAAAAUUGCCUAACAAUGAAUUCUCAGAACGUAUAAAAUACAGUGACACGACUGAAUUUUAAAAAGGAAAAUCAUAUUAUUGAUUUGUAUUUCCAAAAGAUCAUUUGAGAAACUGAUGGAGUACAGUUUGUGGGAAAAUGACUUGGCAGUAAAGUAGCUGUCAUUAUAAUAUUUCAAUAUUUGCUAACUGAGUAAAUGAGAGGAAGAAUAAAUUAACAUCUAUGUUUACUUCUUUUCUUCUUUCAGUAAAAUGAGCCCUUCAUCUUGUCUAAUACUCAUCACUUCACCUAUGUGCUAAAUUCCAUUCUUUCCAGUCAUCUUCUGACAAUUUUGAUUCACAAAUAUUGCCCCCUCUCUCCUUUUAUUUUGAACCUGUCUAUGCAGCAGCACCAUAUUUUUAACAUGUGAAUAUUCUCAAACUAGUGUUUCCAAUCAGAAGCAGCAACAGCAGGUACUUCAUCCUAUAUCCUAAUCUAGAAUUUCAACUUUUUUCUUCUCUCCUGAACCUUCCUCUUUGCAAUAAGAGUUGGCAUUCUUAUCUUGACUUUGUCACCAACGUUUUUCAUUUUUUUCCUCAACUCUUAGGAACCUGGUCUCUCACUCAUUCUUCAGUUUUUUGUUGAUGUUGUUUGUUUUCUUGUUUGUUUUUUUUUUUCUUGUCAAGAGUACUCAUCACGUUCUAUUUGCUAAAUCUGAAAUAUUUGUCAGUCCUUAUCUUAUUUUGCCUCUUUACUUGACCUUUCUACUGACUUGACUUCUCCAUGUCUAACGCUUAACAUACCUGAGUCAGAGGUAAAACCCAAUUUUCCCUUCAUUAGUUAAGCCAAUCAAUACAGAAAA